CGAGACUCCAUCUCAAAAAAAAAAAAAAAGAAAGAAAUUUAGCAUAUAAACUCAGAAAAUUACUUUCUGGGCAGAGACAAAGCUAAUUCAAUCUUAAUUUGAUCUAUUACUUUAAGAUGAUGAUUGAGUGUACUAACCAAUACAAAAGAGGUUAACAAAAAGUACCUGAGGAAGAUCAGUUUUGCAGGAUUUCAGAGUAUUAUUCACCAAAUCUGCUAAGGGUAUGUUAUUUAAAUCCAUCAAAAUCCCAUUUCUGGGGUUCUAGGUAAAUGUAAGGUGUGGCUCCAGCAAGCUCCAUCUGAGGCUAGAGUACUAAAAGCCCCCCAAGGAAGACACACUAUCAGACAACAGUAGGGAAAGCAGAAAUACCUCCCAUAGCCAGGCUAUGUCCAUUCCAUUGGUGCUUGACUACUGUCUGGAUUCAUUCGAUCACGUUAAUUUACUUGACAAGUUAUGUUUCUGGUAGGCUUCAAGAAUUAUCUUGAAUUUGAAACUAGUGGGGUAGAAAUUUAAAAGCUUUCCCAAUGCUUUCUGGACAUUUCCGCCUCGUAUUUUCCCCUGUGGUUAGAGCUGAUGCUGGCUUACCUGGGGACACCCAGGUACCCACUGAUGUUUGCUGAUGCUAGUAUUGAUCCUCCAAACCAGCCAAUAAGACCUCUCUUAGGAGCUUCUAUCACCAACAGGCACUCUGUCUAAAACUGCGACAUCUCCCAGCCUGAACAACCUGGACUUUUCCUCUUGCCUCUCUUGACUAUCUAACAUGCUGUAUCUUUCACAUAUUUAUUUUGCAGAUUUUUCAACACUCCUAUUAGACUAUAAUUUUGAGCUGGUUGUUCAUUGGUAAAUUGCAAAUGCUUAUAACAGUGCCUAGCAAACACCGGAUGAUCAAUACAUAUUUGUCAAUGACAUGAAUCAAUCGGAAUGCAGGCAGAUUGAUCAAGAUAAAAAGGCAAGAGAGUAAGAGGAAAAGGGGGAAAAAUAGAUCUUGACAACUUUCAAGUGGUUCAGCACCCAAGUCAAUUUGUUUUCAGGGUGAAACUGAAUCUCAAUGUUUCUUUCAAACACGUGGACUAUUUCUUAGUCAUCUCAAUAAGAAUUUUCUGGAAGACUCGGGCUUAGAUGUAACAGGUUCAAUGGACCCAACUGCCCUCGGCUCUUGCCAGAAUGAGAAACACUUUGGUUUUGUUCAAUUCAUUUAUUUCCUGCACUCGAAUUGCCAUCAAGAGAUGUAAAUGUUGAAACUGAUUUGAUUUUAAAUAUACCCACACUUCUCGGCCUCUUG
rnacentral:lncRNA from 10 species